AAAUAAGGGGUGCUUCACGAUUGUGAUGCUGAGAUUAUACCCAUAGAACCUGACGCAGGUAAUGCUGCCGCAGGGAUUGC
rnacentral:ncRNA from 1 species